CGCAGACAAGAAGUUGCGCGGUUGAAUCGAAGCCUCUCGGAAAUCGAUCAAAACUAAAUGAAACGGAACUCGAUGGUUCCAAAUCUCAAGUAUAGCCGAAAUCGAUUUGCAUCUUUCAAUUGAGGAAAUGGCGUGUCCGAAACCAAAUGAAGGAAAAAAGUAGUUACAAAAAUUCCUCCUUACCUGGUAUGCCGAUGCUGCAGUUCCGAAUAUGAAACCAUCUGGAAAAUCAGCUCUGCUUAGACAUUCAGAGUUGGUAAAGAAUUGAAUAAUCAGCCAGGAAAUCAGAAUGAUUCUCAUAGGGAGAAGUUUCCACUGCUGAUGAGAAGAUGAACUCUAUCAGGUUAUUAUGUUUCAAUUCCCUUUAGAUUACGAGCAACUUGAACUGAAAAAGGUGAAAUAAUUUGAAAGAAAUAUAAACUUGAUAUGGAUAGAAAGAUUAGGUGAUUAUUGAAAGGAGUUGCGUGUAAUUUGUCCUUCAGGUCUUUCACAUUUUGGAAUGUAUAUGCAAUAGGUGAUAUGAGAGAUAUGUCAAUAAAAGAGUAAGAGAAAAGGGAUAGGAAGGAAUAUAGAGAUGACACAUCUUGCAAGCAAAAGAUAUUAGAAAAAAAAAAGAAUGCUAAAGUGGCGUGUCUGUGGAGAAGAAGCUCGAGUUUGUGAAACUUUGAAGCAUUUCAAUUUGAUGAAGCCAAGCCAACAACCGCAAGAACUGGUCGGUUUACUUUGAAAGGCAAGUCUUUCUUUUUCCUUUUUUAUUUAUUUGUUUUAAAAUUAUUUGAUUAAUAUUGAAACCAAUAAAUAGAUUCUUUUGUUGGUGUUUGGAUAUUAACAAUGAUGUGUCAUAACUAUAUUAUCACAACAAAGGGUGGUGGUGGUGGUGAUUAUUAUAUUUAUAUCAUCCUUCCACGGAAAUAAUGGAGAAAAUAGGGAGAUAAGGUCAAGAGAGAGAGAGAUAGAGAGACAGUGUGUUGGAGGGGGAAUUUCUAAUAGGUAGAGGCUAAAUUUGGGGCCAUGCAAAAUCUUUCAGUUAGAGUUUUGAUUUCUUAAGCAUUUGCUUUCUUGGACAAACUCUAAGAUUGCCCAUUGGUGUUUCCUUUGACUAAAAGAGGGGUGGGAAUUGAUAUCUUAUCCCUUAGGUAAGGCUCUAAUUUAGUGUUUUUCUAAUUUUCUCUUUAUUAUUGUUUAAAAUUUUCAAUCGUAGUCGUAAUAUAUAUAUAUAUAUAUAUAUCUAAAUAUUGUUGUUAACAAAUGUACGUAGUAUGAUAAUCUUACCCUCAUGUUUUGUAAAUAUUUUGUUUCAAUUUGUUAUAUUUAAAAAUGUCUAGAAAAUAGAUAUUUUUUUUAUUAUCAUUACAUUACAAUUAUAUUAUUGUAACUGUCUAUUUAAGAUUUACAUUCUUUUAGGAGUUUCAGUUGUAUGGUCGGUAGAUUGUAAAAGAGAUUUUAAAGUUGAUUAGUCAAGAUGAACAUAAACUAAUUCGAAGACUUAUAGAUAUAUAAAUAUAACAAUGAGGUGAGGAUUCAAUGCAACAACGUCCAAAAAAUAUAAGGAAAUUUUAUAAUAUAAAUAAGAGUAUAUCCUACUUAAGCGUUCUAACAACUCGUUCAUCUCUGUCGAGUAGCCUCAUUUUUCAUUGUUUCCUCCAAAUCUGUUUCCAAUUUAUUUUCUUUUCUCCUAUCUCUUACAGCUAACUACACAACCACACUUUUAUGUUUUUUAGAAAAAUAUUUAGAUGUAAUUUGUGUGUAGCUCUAGCUCAUUCAUUUAAGUGUUUAAUAGAUAAGUUUGCCACAUGGUAAACACUUUUGUUUAAAAGAUAUUUUGUUUGGGAAGAAAGAUGAUGCAUGAAGAUAAAUAGACAGUGGUAUUAAUUUUUGUUUAUUUGUUUAUGAAACAGGUGAAUCUUAUUUAUAUAUUUUUAAUCUUUAAAAUGGAUAAGCAGCCACCACGGUCCCAAUAAUUCUGUUGUCCCUUUCUUUUCCCCUCUCUUUUUCUUUUUAAAUAAAAUAAAUAAAUAAAAUUAAAGAACCAAGAGGGAUAUAAAUAAAAGAGAUUCAAAAACUAUUUGUCAAAGGAGAGAAUAAAACAUCCAACGGGAGGCGCUCGUGUUUGCAAGGUUUAGUGAUUUUUUUUUCUUUCUUAUUAUUAUCUUUUUCUUUGACUAAUUAAAAUAUUGGGUCAUUUCAAAACUUAUUAGCUUUAUUUUAUUUUUCUUUUUAAGUAAGUUGGUGAUAAAACAGUCAUUUUUGAGGUGUUUAAGGUGGAGGCGCAGACAAUAUCGUGGAGCGAUGAGAUAGUUGGACUCAUAUAAAAAUGUAUCAAAGAUAGCUCGUACACGGUAGAUCCUACGGAUUACUUCACAAGUUUUAGUUCUCAAAUUUUUAUGAUUAGUAUUAUUAAAAAAAAAGACAAUUUUAAAUAUAGCAACAUAACAAAAGUUUUAAUUCAUUAUUUACGUUUGUAAGAGAAAAAGAAAACCUAUUCAAAUACAUUGUCCUAAUGUAGUGCAAUUUUAUAAGGUUAGAUAUUUGUUUUAGGUGCCAAAGCAUAGUCUUCUUUUUUUCGGUAAAUUGAAAGGCGGCCUUUUCUUUUUAUUUUUUCGAAUGUUUAUUAAUAUGUUGGGUGGAGAUUUUGAAACUCAACCAUAUUAAUGAAUGAUGUAUAGUAUAUAACUAAUUUAAAUAACGUCCUUUAUAAAUAGGUCAAUAGUUUGAUCCUUAAGGGAAAUCAAUCACUUUCUUUAGCGAAUAAUUUAUUUUGACAGACAACUCCACAUGUGGUGUGACUAAGAGUAGAGAAUUUCAAAUAAUCAAUCUAUAAUAUGAUAUAAUGAUAGUAUUAAGAAACAAAAAAAUCCAUGUGAUCAAAUGACCAAGAGCAAGUGAGAGACGCAAGUAAUUUGUGGCAUGUUAGGCAACCUUUCUUUCUUAGAUUUAAAUAAGAUGGAUUAAGUGAAUAUUUAUAACAAUUUACUAUAAAUAAAAAAUAUUUAUAAAUAUAAAAAUAUUUCAAAAUCUAUUAAUGAUAUAUACUGACAAACAUUGAAAUAUAUCCUAACAUCAAAUGCAACAACCAACAAUGAAAAGAAAAAAAAAAGAAUAACAUCAUUGCAAUGAUUGAUGAUAAAUGUGGACGACACCACUCGCAACAACUUCUUCAACGACAGAUGACUGAUGAGAUGCCAGAUGCCACCAAUAGACUCUGGAGUUAGGUUGAACCACAGAUGACUGAUGAGACGCCACCAAUAGACUCUGGAGUUAGGUUGUGAGGGUGACGUUGACUGAAAUGUGAUAACAAUGGUAAAUGUGAAUGGUGGAAACAUGAAAUUGAAAUUUCAAAACUACCACUCACUGAGUCUUUAACUUAAGAUUUAAGUUUUUCCUUCCCAGAUGUUCAAGCGUUUCAACCAAGUAAGAAAGGAUAAGAUGAGUUGCUAUGCGUGGAAACUGAGUAAGCGAUCUAAGCUCAUUUACUUUAUAUUUUUUGUAAAUAGGAAAUUAUUUUGUUUAUAGAAGCCUUAUACAAAAGGCGCUAUAUCUUAACUUUGUGAGAGCUAGGCAAGAAGCUCAAGUUUAAGAUUAACUCUUAGUAUUAAAAAAGUAAGGAAAAUGUAAUCGUAGAACGUUUGGUUCAAGUAAUAAGAAAUGAUUUGUUAUAUUUGAA